rnacentral:rRNA from 1 species
AAUGAACGUUGGCGGCGUGGAUUAGGCAUGCAAGUCGAGCGAGAACCGUAGCAAUACGGGGACAGCGGCGAAAGGGAGAGUAAUACGUGGGUACCUACCCUCGGAUUCAGGAUAGCCAGGGGAAACUAAGGGUAAUACUGAAUAACGUCUUCGGACCAAAGGUGUGAUUACGUCUGAGGAGGGGCCCGCGUCCUAUUAGGUCGUUGGCGAGGUAACGGCUCACCAAGGCUGAGAUGGGUAUGGGAUGUGAGAGCAUGAUCCCACGCGUUGGGACUGAGCCCCUCCCCAGACACCUACGGGUGGCUGCAGUCGAGAAUCUUCGGCGAUGGUGGCAACCCUGACCGAGCGACGCCGCGUGCGAGAUGGAGGCCUUCGGGUUGUAAAUCGCUGUCAGAGGGGAGGAAAUGCCGGUGGGUUCUCCCAUCGGUUUGACCUAACCUCAGAGGAAGGACGGGCUAAGUUCGUGCCAGCAGCCGCAGUAAGAC